rnacentral:rRNA from 1 species
AUGCACGUACGUGAAGAUAAUGUGGAACUCCACACCAGAAGAAAACAAGAUAAUGCGAGAACUCCAACUCUCUCUCUAUAUAUAAAUAGAGUCAGAGACGAGCUGGGCAGCACACUUGACAUCGCAUCUCCCUAUUACUACUACUCUUCAGAGUCUUCACCAGACAAAGUAGCUGCUGUUGCGAUGGCCUGUGCUCCAUCUACGGUGAAGGUGGCCGCCAUCUCCCUGCUGGUGAUCCUGUGCGCCGGAACACAGCUCACGGCCGUGCAUGGCCGCGGCCCGGCCCUCGACGUCGCGGAUGGCGCGGCCCUGCUGCGGCUCGUGAAGCCUGCGUCGGCGGCGCUGGACGAGCUGGCCGAGAGGCUGCGUCAGGGCUGGCUUCAGUGCAAUGAAUCGUGUCAGACUUGUAAGUUCGUUUGCGCAUGCCAGAACUGUGAGUGUGACGGCCCGCCAUCGGAGGAGAACGAUAAGUGUGAGCGGGAUUGCAUCCGGGCAAGGGGCUGCGAACGGAGGACAUGA